GCGGCGCCGCCCCUUAGCCGCGUCCCUGCGCCUGAGGCGGUAGUGUCCGCAGACCUGAGGCACCGGGGGCACGUGCAAUCGCAGCGGAGUGCUCUGUCCUGCCUGAGAUUCCCCAGCGUCACUGCUGGGUGGGAUUUGCUACUUCACACCAAGUACUCCCGUGUGUUUUACCCACAGCAGCGACACUCUCCCAGGUGACCACCAUUAGCCCCCAAAUCAGGUCCCUUUGUGCUUUCCUUCGUAAUUCAACAAGUGAAGGUUUGUUACUAAAGAUUGAUCCAUUGUUGCCCUAAAGAAGUAAAAACUGAAGAAAGUAGCAAAGAAGCUGCCUAAAUGUGUUGUGAAUUGUGAAAUUAUUUUUUAGUGGAUUAAGAAGCAACAGAGAAAAUUAUAAAACUGCAUAAUUUCUA